GACGAACGCUGGCGGCGUGCCUAAUACAUGCAAGUAGAACGAGUGGCGGACGGGUGAGUAAUGUCUGGGAAACUGCCUGAUGGAGGGGGAUAACUACUGGAAACGGUAGCUAAUACCGCAUACCAUCAGAUGUGCCCAGAUGGGAUUAGCUAGUAGGUGGGGUAACGGCUCACCUCGGCGACGAUCCCUAGCUGGUCUGAGAGGAUGACCCACCUCUCGGUGACUGAUGCACGGUCAAGACUCCUACGAGAGGCAGCAGGGGGGAAUAUUGCACAAUGGGCGCAAGCCUGAUGCAGCCAAGCGGCGUGUAUUAAGAAGGCCUUCGGGUUGUAAAGUACUUUCAGCGGGGAGGCGUUACCCGCAGAAGAAGCACCGGCUAACUCCGUGCCAGCAGCCGCGGUAAUAG
rnacentral:rRNA from 1 species